rnacentral:rRNA from 1 species
CAGGCCUAACACAUGCAAGUCGAACGCUAUAUUUAUAUAGAGUGGCGCACGGGUGAGUAACACGUGGGAAUCUGCCCUUCUGCCUGGGAUAACAGUUGGAAACGACUGCUAAUACCGGAUACGCCCUUCGGGGGAAAGGUCCGCCGCAGAAGGAGGAGCCCGCGCUCGAUUAGCUAGUUGGUGAGGUAAUGGCUCACCAAGGCAACGAUCGAUAGCUGGUCUGAGAGGAUGAUCAGCCACACGGGGACUGAGACACGGCCCAGACUCCUACGGGAGGCAGCAGUGGGGAAUAUUGGACAAUGGGGGCAACCCUGAUCCAGCAAUGCCGCGUGUGUGAUGAAGGCCUUAGGGUUGUAAAGCACUUUCACUGGUGAAGAUGAUGACGGUAACCAGAGAAGAAGCCCCGGCUAACUUCGUGCCAGCAGCCGCGGUAAUACGAAGGGGGCGAGCGUUGUUCGGAAUUACUGGGCGUAAAGGGAGCGCAGGCGGUUCAUUAAGUUAGGCGUGAAAGCCCCGGGCUCAACCUGGGAACUGCGCUUAAUACUGGUGAGCUAGAAAACAGGAGAGGGUAGUGGAAUUUCCAGUGUAGAGGUGAAAUUCGUAGAUAUUGGAAAGAACACCGGUGGCGAAAGCGGCUACCUGGCCUGAU